AGAACAGGCAAGCUGUGCUGACAAGAUCAGAAGGUUGCUAUCAGAACCAUCAGCUCCAGUUUGCUGCAAGAUCUGAACUGGCAAGAUGGAUCUCAUGAACUACUGUGUGUUCCCCACUUAAUUCAUCUUCAAAACCAAGUAUGUGGGUAAAUCAGAACUUUAGAACUAAAAUUAUAACCAGAAUCUCUGCUGUAAGCCAGGAACAUGAAACGUUUAGUUUCCCAGUGUCUAUAUUAAAGGAAGAUACACCAGCAGGAUCUUGUACUAUAUUUUGAAUAGGCCAGUCUACUGAAUCUACCACAAUCAUCAGCAUUCUAAGAUUCAGCUGAGGACAAGACCCUGGCACUUAAUAGAAUAGAAGUGGCUGAAAAUUGAAUGAUGAUUCAUGCGGAGAGUAUAAAAUAGUCUAGAGUAUAAAGAAGAGGAUGAAGGCUUAAGCAGGAAACUUUGACAGCUCCAAAGAUCUUAAUCCUUAUAAAGAAGUAAUUAAGUUUCAACUCUGCACUCAGAUUUUCAAGAAAUCUUUGCAACUUUAACAUAGUAUUUUGAGGAGUAAAAGUGACACCUGGAAAAAGCCAUCCAUGAGAACUAACUCCCCACAAACUGAUCAGAUGUCAGGACUGCGAUUUUUCUUCAGAGAAAGCAAAACUAUGGGUUAAGAUGUGUUUGGAAGGCAGAAAUCUGACUGAGAGUCUGUC
rnacentral:lncRNA from 1 species